rnacentral:rRNA from 1 species
CCUACGGGUGGCAGCAGUGGGGGAUAUUGCACAAUGGGGGAAACCCUGAUGCAGCGACGCCGCGUGUGGGAAGACGGUCCUCUGGAUUGUAAACCACUGUCCCCAGGGACGAAGAUGACGGUACCUGGGGAGGAAGCUCCGGCAAACUACGUGCCAGCAGCCGCGGUAAUACGUAGGGAGCGAGCGUUGUCCGGAAUUACGGGGUGUAAAGGGAGCGUAGGCGGGGAUGCAAGUUGGGUGUAAAAACUACCGGCUCAACUGGUAGUCGUACUCAAAACAGCAGAUCUUGAGUGAAGUAGAGGCAGACGGAAUUCCUAGUGUAGCGGUGAAAUGCGUAGAUAUUAGGAGGAACACCAGUGGCGAAGGCGGCCUGCUGGGCUUUUACUGACGCUGAGGCUCGAAAGUGUGGGGAGCAAACAGGAUUAGAUACCCCGUGUAGU